rnacentral:rRNA from 1 species
UACAGAGGUGGCAAGCGUUGUUCGGCCUUACUGGGCGUCAAGGGCGCGUCGGCGGCCUGUUAAGUCCCGUGUGAAAUCCCUCGGCUCAACCGAGGAACUGCACGGGAAACUGGCGGGCUUGAGUUCGGGAGAGGGAAGCGGCAUUCCGGGUGUAGCGGUGAAAUGGGUAGAUAUCCGGAGGAACACCGGUGGCGAAGGCGGCUUCCUGGACCGACACUGACGCUGAGGCGCGAAAGCUAGGGGAGCAAACGGG